CGCACUGGCUGCCGGGAUUGCUCCGCCGCUACUGUGGACAUGUCCGCCAUGUUUUCCAUGGCGCAGAGAGUAGACCAGACGACAAAAAUAGCCAUUAUAUCAGGUUAAUCUCGACCAAAAAUGGCUUUUCGUGCGACAUUUCAAGCAAGUGAAAACCAAUGAAUUCUACUUUUGUGGAAACAGCCGUGUCCCUCCUGGAUUUAUACCGAUAUCUCUAUCGUAUUCUGGCGGGAUUCACAUUUCCUUCGGUGGCUCUGUGAUUACGUUAGGCGCUAACAAUGAGUAAAUUAUCGUUCCGAGCGCGAGCGCUAGACGCCGCCAAACCUCUCCCAGUCUACCGUAACAAAGAUCUUCCAGACCUAAAUGACUGCGUCUCGAUCAACCGGGCAGUUCCACAAAUGCCAACGGGCAUGGAAAAAGAGGAAGAACUGGAGCACCAUCUGCAGAGGGCCAUCUCAGCCCAGUCGGUGUUCCGGGAGAAGAAGGAACACAUGGUGAUCCCGGUGCCCGAGGCUGAGAGCAACAUCACCUACUACGACCGCCUCUACAAAGGCGAACUCAAGGUUCCCAAACAGCUCAUGCACAUCCAGCCCCUUGGCCUUGACAAUGAGGAGGCCGACUACGAUAUGGACUCUGAGGACGAGACCCUCCUCAACAGGCUCAACCGCAAGAUGGAGAUCAAGCCACUGCAGUUUGAGACCAUGGUGGACCGACUGGAGAAGGCCAGCACCAACCAGCUUGUGUCACUCCCGGAGGCCAAGGUGCUGCUGAACGAGGACGACUACCUCCUCAAGUCGGUGUAUGACUACUGGGUGAGGAAGAAGAAGAACUGCAGGGGGCCGUCGCUCAUCCCGCUGAUCAAGCUGGAGAAGCGGGACGGCUCCACCAACAGCGACGCCUAUGUGGCCUUCCGCCGCCGGACGGAGAAGAUGCAGACCAGGAAGAACCGCAAAAACGACGAGGCGUCUUACGAGAAGAUGCUGAAACUGCGGCGGGAGUUCAGCCGUACGGUCACCAUCCUGGAGAUGAUCAAGAGAAGGGAGAAGGCCAAGCGUGAGCUGCUCCACCUCACCCUGGAGGUGGUGGAGAAGAGGUACCAGCUGGGCGACUUCACCGGGGAGGUCCUCAGUGAGGUCACCGUUCCCCUGGCCGAGAAGCCGGCUUACAUCGCUCCCGUGAGCCUGGCCAACGGCAUGCGCCACAAAACAGAGCUGAAGAUCAAGACGUACAAGGCAGGUCUUCCCUACUACACUUCCGUGAAGGAGGAGCUUCCCUUCGACUUUGUCCGGCCGAAGAAGAAGUACACCAAGAGGGACAAGUUGAACCCGCCGCGCCGCCCUGGACGCCCCCCCAGCCUCUACACCGUCAACAAGGCCGACAUCAAGCAGUACGACUUCCACAGCUCGGGCGAGGAGGACUUCCCAGCACCACUGUCUCCGCCGUCGGAGCCCGACGAGGAGAACGAUCCCGACGGAGUGUUCGCCUUCCGAAGGAAAGCUGGGUGCCAAUAUCUCUCGCCGUGUGCGGAGCUGAACCCGGGGCCCCUGUGGGAGCACCCAGAGCUGGCGGGGCUGGACGCCCUGCGCCACCGCCACUCCCUCACCGCCCUGUGUGUACCCCGCCGCUUCGUCGGCCUGGCGCGACGCAGGAUGGGCCGCGGUGGCAGGGUCGUCCUGGACCGGGCCUCCUCCGGCACUGACGCGGUGCUGAGGCAGCUGGACCCGGAGGUGGUCACUCAACCCGGCGCCACGGACUCUCCCGCCCCCCUACAGAGAGGUCCGGGUCAGCGCUGCGCACCGAGCACCUCCUUGUCUGAGAUCCUGGACAACAUCCAGGCGCUCAGGUGGCGCUGCUUCAGGCCACGCCCCUCUCAGGACCACAACCAGGCCAGCAAGACGAGCCGGCUCUCCACAGACUGCAGACUGGCCGCGCGCCUCUCGGCCUGCCCCAGGAACGGCAUCGGGGGCAUCACAGAGGAGCAGUACCAGGACCACCAGCAGCAGCUGGCCCAGAUGCAGAAGCAGCAGCUGGCCCAAACUUCCACUGCUCCCGUCAAGCAUUCCUCACAGCCUGAGCUCAAAGUCACGCAGACCACUUGUUCCAACGAUUGCACUUCAAAGACCCUAGACUCUGCCAGCGCCCACUUUGCUGCCUCGGCGGUGGUCAGUGCGCCCCCCCAGGGCCACGUCAACAACGAGAACAAGCCCCACAAGCCGAGUGUCAACGGUGUCCUCCAUCCUCCAGGCACCACCAGACCUCCACACCCCACCACCACCCCCAGCACCAGUACCACCAGCAUGGGCGGCGGCGGCGGCGGCAGCGGCACCACCACCACCACCUCCACCUCACACAGCGGCGGGCCCCGGGGCCUCGGGCGAUCGUCUUCCUCCACCACGUCUUCCUCGCUGCAGUCUCUGCCCAACGCGCGCAGUCACGUCAGCGCCGUGUCGCCAGCCAACAGCCACCACAGCGCCCGCCCGUCCGCCCCCUCGCCGUCUGCCUUAAAGCUGGCCACCGCCGCCAGCGCGCUGGGUCGCGUGCCCAAGGUGCCGCCGGCCAGCACCGGCGGCACGUUGCCCAGGUAGACGGCCGCGCCAUCUCCAUCCACCGCUUUUAUUUUCAGCAACCGCAGGCUCCACCUCAGGGAUAUAGGAGAACCACGAGCCAGAGAGACUGAAUGGAAUAUCAGAGACCACAGUGGCAAUGGAGGUCACAUAGCCCUCUCCACAGCCAUCCACCCCCAACCUAUCCCUCCCCAACACACCCCUGCGCGCCCACCCCCUUAUUACUUUGCGCCAUUGUCCUCUCGCCCAGACUCUGCUCAGACCAGUGAAUGUGACUAACGGAGCCCCUACCCCUCCUCCCCAUAAUGAAUGCAAGCCCCCCAUCCACUAUGAGUGGCAGUGGGGCGAACGGAGGCUGGUGGAGAUUAUACAAGGACCUAUACAGAAUCGAGCAUAUCAAAAUAUUUUAACCCAUUUGUCAAUAUUAUAAGUGUACAUUUUGUAAAUUGGAAGUAUCACGGCUGUGUAAAAUAGUAUAUUUGUAUCAUUAGUACGUUUCCGUUUUUUCCUUUUGUUACUUGAAGCAAAUGAAUUUGUCAUCAUGCUUUUGCACUUGACACACACACACACACACACACACACGCGCACACACACACACACACACACACACACACACACACACACACACACACACACACACACACACACACACACACACACACACACACACACACACACACACACACACACACACACACACACACACACACACGAGAAGUGAAAGAAAGAAAUGCAAAAGCUAAGUGUUGGGAUCAUGGGUCCACUUAUUUAUUUUGCAAUGUUUACAUUUUGUAUUUCACUCAAACCAAUCAGCAGAGUCUCUGCCGAAGAUGGGGAAAGAUUGUCCUGCCAGCAUAUUCGGUUGCAAGCCUUUUUUUUUUUCCAAAGAUGGGGGAAAAUGAACGUGAUACGAUUUGGUUUCACAAAUUGGAGAUAGACUUUUUUUUUAUUAAAUAAGUGGCAUUUUUUCCAUUGAGAAAAAAAUCUUUUCUGUCCCUUUUUGUUUGGUGGAACAGGAAUUGUUUUUUUUAAUUUUUAAUAAUUUGUUUCGCCUUUCAUUCUGUAUGUAGAAAAAACAACAUCCCGUAGAAUUCUAACCAUUUUCUUCACCUAAACCUAUUUAUUUAAAUCCUCUCUGGAAAAAAACCACAAACAAAAACAAAUAUAUGCAUCCUUGGAAAAAAUGUUAAUUGGGGAAACUUUUAUAAUAUAUUUGCCUUUUUUAAACGGGUAGGGACACAAGCCAAUGAACACAGGAGUAGAGCGGCCUAUUGGUAGAGCUUUUCAGAUACUUGGGAAAGUGAGCGGGGAUUAAACUCCUGAGUUGUCAAGCCAUUGAUUUUGCUUUUCACAAAAUCAAAACGUUUCCCUCCUCUCCUUUUGAUCAAGGGGCAAGUAACAUGUUGAAACAAUGUCUGAUGGUCAGUGCCAGGCCUUUUCCCCAUAGUGGUAGUGUAGUCAAUGUAGUUAACCCUGUACAGAUGUUGGACAAAAAGAAACCAAACACAUUUGUAUUUAAAUGUGUAAUGCUUAGAUUCCAUGCACUAUGUCUUCAGACAUAAGUUUUUCCUUGUUACUUGUUCUUGUGUGUUUCAGAAAAAAAUGCUGGGAAAUAAAAAAAAAUACAUCUAUUCAUUACGUCA